rnacentral:rRNA from 1 species
UACGGAGGGUGCAAGCGUUAUCCGGAUUCACUGGGGUUAAAGGGUGCGUAGGCGGGUAAGUAAGUCCGGGGUGAAAUCUCUGAGCUUAACUCAGAAACUGCCGUGGAUACUAUCUGCCUUGAAUAUUGUGGAGGUGAGCGGAAUAUGUCAUGUAGCGGUGAAAUGCUUAGAUAUGACAUAGAACACCAAUUGCGAAGGCAGCUCACUACACAAUCAUUGACGCUGAGGCACGAAAGCGUGGGGAUCAAACAGG